rnacentral:rRNA from 1 species
UACAGAGGCCACGAGCGUUAGGCGGAAUCACUGGGCUUAAAGCGUGUGUAGGUGGAUGGGUAAGUACCUUGUGAAAUCCCACGGCUCAACCGUGGAACUGCUUGGUAUACUGCCUGUCUUGAGGCACUCAGGGGCGAGCGGAACAGAUGGUGGAGCGGUGAAAUGCGUAGAUAUCAUCUGGAACGCCAAUGGUGAAGACAGCUCGCUGGGGGGUGUACUGACACUGAGACACGAAAGCCAGGGGAGCAAACGGG